AAGGUAGCAUAAUCACUUGUUCUUUAAUUGAGAACUAGAAUGAACGGUCUAACAAAAUCAAUUUAUCUAAUGAGCCUAAAAAAACUUGAGUUUUUAGUAAAAACACUAAAAUAAAUAAGGGGGACGAUAAGACCCUAGAAGCUUUAUAAAUAUCUCAUGCUUAUUCUUGUAAUAAUAAAAGUGUGACUUAAUAUAUUUAACUGGGGUAGUGAUUCUAAAAAAACUAGAAGUUGAGUUAACCAAAGAUUAUAAGAUCCUUUCAAUAAGGAUAAAUAGCUUAAGUUACUCUAGGGAUAACAGCAUAAUAGACACGAAGAGACCAUAUUUAUGUGUCUGAUUGUGACCUCGAUGUUGAAUUAAGAUCCCCCUGUGAAGCAAAAUACAUAGAACGGGAGUUUGUUCAACUCUUAAAAUCUUACAUGAUCUGAGUUCAAACCGG
rnacentral:rRNA from 1 species